CAGACCCAAUUGCAACCAAACAUGUCAGGACUCUUGGGGUUCUUCAUGCAUUCCUUCCAAAUAUUAUGAUGUUUGUGGCUUUUGUCCUCUGGGGUGUUACAGAAGGAUUUCUGUACGAGACCGUCUCUUGCUGUGCUCUAUAUAUCCAGAGGCCUCUGAUGUUGAUUUAUGUUGCACCAUAUUUAGAACACAUGUCAGAUUUAGCUCUUCAGUCUGAAUAUUUCCUGGAAAUAGUCGUUUAUUCUUCAG